AUUCAACUGAUGAGUCCCAAAUAGGACAAAACGCACGUUAUGAAU
rnacentral:hammerhead_ribozyme from 1 species